rnacentral:rRNA from 1 species
UACAGAGGGUGCGAGCGUUGUCCGGAAUCACUGGGCGUAAAGGGCGCGUAGGCGGCUUCUCAAGCGUGCGGUGAAAGCUCGGGGCUUAACUCCGAGUCUGCCGUGCGAACUGGGAGGCUUGAGUCUGGUAGAGGUCGAUGGAAUUCCGGGUGUAGCGGUGGAAUGCGCAGAUAUCAGGAGGAACACCGGUGGCGAAGGCGGGACUCUGGGCCGAUACUGACGCUGAGGAGCGAAAGCGUGGGGAGCAAACAGG